AGAACGAACGCUGGCGGCAUGCCUAACACAUGCAAGUCGAACGAGACCUUCGGGUCUAGUGGCGCACGGGUGCGUAACGCGUGGGAAUCUGCCCUUGGGUUCGGGAUAACAGUUGGAAACGACUGCUAAUACCGGAUGAUGACUUCGGUCCAAAGAUUUAUCGCCCAGGGAUGAGCCCGCGUCGGAUUAGCUAGUUGGUGGGGUAAAGGCCUACCAAGGCGACGAUCCGUAGCUGGUCUGAGAGGAUGAUCAGCCACACUGGGACUGAGACACGGCCCAGACUCCGUACGGGAGGCAGCAGGUGGGGAAUAUUGGACAAGUGGGCAAAGCCUGAUCCUGCAAUGCCGCGUGAGUGAUGAAGGUCCUUAGGUUGUAAAGCUCGUUUACCGGAUGAUAAUGACGAGUAACCGGAGUAACUAACGCCCCGGUACUAACCGUCCGCCGCCAGCCGAGCCGGAC
rnacentral:rRNA from 1 species